UUCAGUUUCAUCUGAAGAGAAUCCAACAAAGAAGAAAUUUUAUUUUCCAAUAAAAUAUUAAAGCUGCUUUACCCCACAAGAGACAGAGCAGAAAUUCCAUCCAUGAUCUAUAAAUCUAUGCGAAAACAAUACACAGUUCUGGCCAAAAGAAGUUAAAACAAAUGUGAAAAAUAAGCGACAUCCAGAAACUUCAGCAGCUCCCUUCUGUCCUAUGCCUCAAGGUACCAGAGAGGGAAAAAGACCCCCAGGAGAGGCUGUGAGGAAACCUGAACUGCAAACCCACCACGAUGUCUUCCUGGGAAAGGCAAGUUGGUAAAGAAAGAUGUGAACUCUAUUUCAGGGUAGUAUGUUUUUUUCAUUUGCUUCCAAGACUUUGAUGGAAUGACUUGAGAGGAAAAGUUCACAAUUACUAGAAAGAACCUAAAAGGACAUGAGAGAUGAAACCGUUGCAGUAUUUUUGAAAUAAAUGUUUUCCUGCAAGAGCAGAGUCAUGGGCGGGGUGUCUGUGUAAUAUCUACUCAACACAGCCGAAGGGUAAGAGGAAAUCUUGGUAAGCCGACUUCCAAGUCUUAAUGGGGAACCAUACGGAACCAACUGCACGCCAAAUCCCACGCUCACCGAAGCUUCAGGGAUUUUCUUGUGGGUCUGGGGGUUUAAUCUGACAGCUCCUAGAGCCUUCAGGACUUCCCGGGCACAGAUAAUGGGCCGCGACUGCACCCCCGCGUCCCUCCUUGGGGCGCAGGCUUUCCACAGCUACAGUUCUCCACGUCAGCAGCCACGUACACAAGCGCCGGCAGCUGCCAACAGGGCGUGCCCGCUUCCAACCCUGCACUCUCCCAAGCAGGACAUCCCUGCACCGCCCGGCGCGUUCGCGAAAACUCCGCGGGGCCUCGAGGCGUCCCGGGAUUAGCCCUGACGCUGUAGGGCUCUCUAGGUUUUCCACGACGCAGGGGAGCGUAACUGGAGCGCAC
rnacentral:lncRNA from 1 species